AUUGAACGCUGGCGGCAGGCCUAACACAUGCAAGUCGAGCGGAUGAGGGAAGCUUGCUUCCCGAUUUAGCGGCGGACGGGUGAGUAAUGCCUAGGAAUCUGCCUAUUAGUGGGGGAUAACGUUCCGAAAGGAACGCUAAUACCGCAUAACACCGGCAACGGUCAAAGCUGGCCUCUCCUUGGAAGCUAGCACUUGAGGAUGAGUCUGCGGCCCAUCAGCUAGUUGGUAAGGUAACGGCUUACCAAGGCGAAGACGGGUAGCUGGUCUGAGAGGAUGAUCAGCCACACUGGAACUGAAACACGGUCCAGACUCCUACGGGAGGCAGCAGUGGGGAAUAUUGGACAAUGGGCGCAAGCCUGAUCCAGCGACGCCGCGUGAGUGAUGAAGGCCUUCGGGUUGUAAAGCUCUGUUGAGGGAGAAGAAAAAAGCUGGGAGUAACUGCCUGGUUCUUGACGGUAUCCCUUUAGAAAGCACCGGCUAACUCUGUGCCAGCAGCCGCCGUAA
rnacentral:rRNA from 1 species